rnacentral:rRNA from 1 species
UGAGUAAUGUCUGGGAAACUGCCUGAUGAGGGGNUAACUACUGAACGGUAGCUAAUACCGCAUAACGUCGCAAGACCAAAGAGGGGGACCUUCGGGCCUCUUGCCAUCGGAUGUGCCCAGAUGGGAUUAGCUAGUAGGUGGGGUAACGGCUCACCUAGGCGACGAUCCCUAGCUGGUCUGAGAGGAUGACCAGCCACACUGGAACUGAGACACGGUCCAGACUCCUACGGGAGGCAGCAUG